rnacentral:rRNA from 1 species
GUGGGGAAUAUUGGACAAUGGGCGAAAGCCUGAUCCAGCCAUGCCGCGUGUGUGAAGAAGGUCUUCGGAUUGUAAAGCACUUUACGUUGGGAGGAAGGGCAGUAAGUUAAUACCUUGCUGUUUUGACGUUACCGACAGAAUAAGCACCGGCUAACUUCGUGCCAGCAGCCGCGGUAAUACGAAGGGUGCAAGCGUUAAUCGGAAUUACUGGGCGUAAAGCGCGCGUAGGUGGUUUUGUAAGUUGGAGGUGAAAUCCCCGGGCUCAACCUGGGAACUGCCUGCAAAACUGCAUGACUAGAGUACGGUAGAGGGUAGUGGAAUUUCCUGUGUAGCGGUGAAAUGCGUAGAUAUAGGAAGGAACACCAGUGGCGAAGGCGACUACCUGGACUGAUACUGAUACUGAGGUGCGAAAGCGUGGGGAGCAAACAGGAUUAGAUACCCUUGUAGUCC